rnacentral:tRNA from 1 species
GUUUUGGUGGCAGAGCCCGGUAAAUGCAAAAGAUCUAAGCCCUUUUACCCAGAAGUUCAAAUCUUCUCCAAAACA